CCGAGUUUACAAAACUCCCAAACCCACUGUGAACCUUACCCAAACGUUGCUUCGGCGGGACCGCCCCGGGCCACCGCGCCCGGAACCAGGCGCCCGCCGGAGGCCCCAAAACUCUCCUGUCUCCCGUAGCGGCAUUUUACUUCUGAGUCUGCCUAACGGCAAAGCAAAUGAAUCA
rnacentral:misc_RNA from 1 species